rnacentral:tRNA from 1 species
CACUGUAAAGCUACUAAGCAUUAACCUUUUAAGUUUAAAGAUUGAGAGGGCCUCUCUCUACAGUG